rnacentral:lncRNA from 1 species
AGGAAAAGAAUUUAUUUAUUUAUUUAUUUUUUAAAAAUUCUCGUUAACAUAUAUAUAUUUUUGUAUCAUAGUAGGUUAUUCCUCUAUUUGGGGGUCGAGCGCGGUGGCGACCCCUUUCGGUCAUAGCAAAUUUUCCCUCUGUCUCGUCUCGCAUUUUAAUUGUAGCCUCUACAUCUCUUCAGCGAAACCCGUACAGUUUACACAUCAUAACAUAUUCCUCCGCAUUUCUAUAAAAUAAAUAUGAUUUAGAAUAAAAUCGUGUUUUUCUAGCAAACAGAUAAGAGUAAUUCAAUCAAGAAUUUCGUUCAAAAAGCAAACUUGAGAGAAUAUAUUUUUCUUUUUAUUACGAUUAUAUAUAUAUACCAGGUUACUAAAUUCUUAUAUAUAUAUAUAUAAGUUAGAAACAGAAAUUUUACAUCGGUUUAACUCAAAUGAAAUACUUUAUACGAACUACAGUAUAGGUGUACUGUAUAAGAUUUCGUUCGUUAUAACAGGAAGCGCCGUUAGUUCGACCCAUCGAAACGGGCAGGAGAUGUUACGGAUCGGAACAGGUGGUUGCGGUCACGUGACCGUCUGCCAGGUCAAAGGUCUCCGGCCCAACGGGCCAUGUGCGCAGACGAUGCGUGCCAAGGCCAGGACCACUUGUCGCCCUGGGCCAAGUCCAUUAAGCGAAGCGCAGAUGGUUUAAUUGGCCGGUCGAUGCUCGCCGUCGCCGAUUGUCCCCUUUUUAUACACCUGCUGGAUCACGUGAUCGAGAAACGGUUUUUUAAACGCGAUACCGACGGUUGUAACGAGGCUGUCAUCGAUUGAUGAUGCACCUUGUUUUUUAGCUGGCUUGCAGAGAGCGCACUUCGCUUUCUGCUGCUAUGAUCCAAAUUAAACGCGACAAAUCCGUGCAUUUAAAAAUUAAUGGCUUAAUUUUUCUACGGGUUGCCUAUUAUUUUUUGACCCGUACAGUAAAAGGUGGGACUUGACUUUUGCUUCUUUUUUUCUCUCGCUCUCUUUUUUUAAUUUUAUAAAACUCUAAAAAGAAAAUUAUAAAUGUGCAAUUUAUUAUCCCAAGUUUUCUAAAAAUAUUCAGUAC